UACGUAGGGGGCAAGCGUUGUCCGGAAUUACUGGGCGUAAAGCGCGCGUAGGCGGCUUUGCAAGUCGGGCGUGAAAUCCCACGGCUCAACCGUGGAAGUGCACCCGAAACUGCGUAGCUAGAGUCCUGGAGAGGAAGGUGGAAUGCUUGGUGUAGAGGUGAAAUUCGUAGAUAUCAAGCGGAACACCGGUGGCGAAGGCGGCCUUCUGGACAGUGACUGACGCUGAGACGCGAAAGCGUGGGGGAGCAAACGGG
rnacentral:rRNA from 1 species